UCUCCCUCUCAAGACUUUUCAGGAUGUUUUUAUCUUUUGUUUUGCAUCAUACUGUUCCAGUUUUAAUUUCUUUUAGAGGAGAGAAUCGGUGACCUUUUUCCAUAUCUUUUUUCAUCUGAAGUGUUAAAACAACCACGGGCAUUUCCAUCUUUUGAAGGAAGUGUGCUUUUGACAUAGCCAGAAAGCCACUUCAUAAAACAGUGCUUUUCUGCACUUUCACUUCCCUGGUAUUUCCAAGUAGUUGAAGUUCACAGCGAGAUUCAAUGCAUGAAAGUCACGAUAGUCUCUAAAUUCAUGCAAAGUCCCAAACUUUCUGUUUGUGUUUUAUUUUGGAGCUCAUGGCCACAUGAGCAGGAAGAGGAGUCCUCAGGACAUGCUGUCUGUAUGGUUGCUCACCCUGCCAGGUGGGGAGCACCAAGGUGUUCCAAACCACAGGCUGGACUCUCCCCACCCCCACCAUGUCUCACCUCCCCCUUUUGUGACUUGAAGGGAUGAGUUUGGGUCCUGCUCCAUAAAGUGGCGUACGUGGGAGCUGGCACAUUGCACAUCCUUCUCUCAGCCUUGGGGCUUUUUAUCCUGCAAGUCAAUGAGCACCAUUCAGAAGAACGAGGAAGAACAGGAUUGGGAGCGAAGGAUACACAAGGCACCUGGGAAGGCACUGUUUUCAGCUAAGUAACCUUCCUUACACGUUUUUUUUUCUUGCCCUGUUUUACUCCCAUUAGGAAAGCUGUAUGGCAGCCCAAGCUUUGUGCUGCAGCUGAGAGUUUGCUGGGUGAUGCAUCCAACCGUACACAUUUCUUUCUGUGCAGCGAGAGCAGGGUCGGAAAAUAUGCCCGAAUUGGCUUCAAGCCUCUGGGCAUAACUUUAUCCCAGGCCAGUGGUAACACUUGUAUUGUAAAAUCCUUUUUCCUAGGCUCACAGAACAUCUAUGGGAUAACAGAACCAAAUUGGCUCAUGAACUCAAGGACAACAAUGUGCUACAACAACGGCAGUGAGUGUCAGGACACACUCACAGGGUGAGGAAACCCUGUUAACGAGGGAAGCUGCGGCGCUGCGGGGCUGAGCCACCACCAGAUGGCAGCUGGAGCCCAGGCCUGUUCCCCCAGCAGCAGCCCAUCAGCCUGGCUCAUCUGGUGGACAAACCCGGUGGGCUGAGCCUGCCAGUGCAUCUCCUUGGGGAUCAAGAACAGCAGACGCAGCUCUCUGCUGGCCUCUGCAUAGCUGAGCUGGCUGCAUAGAGCAGCAUUUUGUACCUGCCUACUUCCAGUUCUUUUGUUUGGAUUCCUGAAAAUGGGACACGCAAUCUGACCAGCCAGCAGGUACCCAGUGAAGCCAGUCUACCCUCACUAGGGAAGAAUGUGUCUGAGCACUCAGCACCAUGCAAAGAGCAACAGCUGGACAGGGCGAAACCAAAAGGAGACUCAAUGGAAGGAAAGCUCUUUUGUCUUUGCUCGAGUUCAGCUUCAGUGAAGGCAGCCGGGCCCCAGUUUGUGAUCAAGUGAGGAUUCUUGGAGCCUGGAAGACAGAGUGCAAUACUUGAAACAGGCGUUUCUAAAUGGGACAUCGCUCACCCACCGCUCCUGGGACAGGCAGUGUCGUUACAGGAUGAUUUGGCAGGUCCUCCCUUGGCAGCAGCGUAUUUCACACACUUAGACAUGGAUGAUGGCACCAUGUCAGCACAAGAUGGAUUAAGGGUUGGAAAUCGGCUAAGAAGACUGGUUUUGCUAAGAGAUGAGCAACUAUAACAAAAAAACAAAGGUAAGGGGUAGAGGAAGGUGAGAGGAUGCUGCAUAUCCACAACCACCCAGUCUCUGAUCCUCGUUACUCCCCUUUCACCAACUAGAGCAGGAAGCCAGAGCUGUCCUGCCCCACUCAGCCCAUCAUGCUAGGGACAAAAGCAAGCAGCUGGCUUUGAACUGAGUCAGGCUAAAGCACCAAAACCUCAGCAUCUAGCAAUAUGUAACAUGUACUUCACAGAAGGUAAGCACAGCUCCUGAAGUCAGCAAGGAACGCUUGCUGUCAAGUGAGGUGCGAGGGCGUGUCCUGCCUACUGGUCUGCACUCUGUUUUCCCUCCCCUUACUAAAAUCCCAUUGACCCAGAAAGUGAUCGUAUUCAGGAAUUCACACUCAGCCUCUAAAGGGGCACUAGGUGCCUUUGUGUUCCGAGACAUUCCAGCACAUCAACUUGACUAUUUCGACUUUUUUCUCUGGCUAAUAGAAACGCCUGUUACACCUGACAAAGCCCUUGAGGAUUGAAAAUUAGUUCCUUUGAAAAUUCUCUGUGUGGAUUAUAGUAACAGCAUUGUAAACCUACAAUAUUUCUUUCAUUUUUUUAUGUUUGUGUGUGCGCAUAAAGGUAUAUACACAGUAUAAAAAAGCAAUAGUUUUAGGAAUACAUUCAAGUCAUAAAAUUCCUAAAAUGCAUUUUGAUCAUGCCUGUGUCCAUUUUGCAUAUUCAUAUAGAAUGUACUGGCUGCAGGUUCUCCAUCUCUGAAAAUGGCAAGAAUAACUUCAGUCUGGAUUUAUCUUUCACAGUCAUUUUUUUUCCCAAUUUUCCAAUAAUAUUUAAGCUUUUAAUGCUAUACAAGCUGUAGGCAAGGUGUUCCAGUGUUUGAAUUCACUACAUCUCUGUGUUAUCUCUAAUAAAUACAACACAGGUUGCAGUCUCCAGCCUCCUGCAAAAUCUGUGGCAUCCUUUCAGUGCCUGCCUGUGAGUGAAGUCAGUGCUGAGCACAUUGCUCACUAUGUGUAGUCACAGCAAAACACCACGUGCACUACUCACCAUUUUUUCUCUCUCCAGCUCCAAACUGAAGCGAUCUUGUAAUUCAACUUGAGUCUGAAGUCUUUUCUUCUCUUCCUCAGCAGCACGAGCAGCUGCUGCUUCUAGUUGCUGGAAAAGAAGGGCAGGGGGUGGGGAGAAAAGAGAGGGGAACAACAACUUGUCAAAACUAAACCGUUUGGAGGGAACAGAAUAUUAAUUAACAAUUUUUGGUUUUAACAGAAAUGGAAGAAACCUUCAAAAGCAUUAAGGCACUAGUGUUUGGGGUAUUUUUAAUGUCUGAGGCUAUUCUCAAUCUCUAAAUGUGCUUUUUAAUCUUGUUAUUUGCAAGACAAAUUUUAAAUUUACCAAUGAAAUUAUCAGAAUUCCUCCAAGUUUUUUGCCCAACCAACAGAAACCACUAUUAUUUCCUUCUCUACCUCAUACGGGAUAGAAAACUACUAUGGAAACCCACAUCCCAGGCAGCAGGACUGCACAGGAGUUCCAAUAGCGAAAACAUGCCAGCGUGCACAGUUCAUACAGAAACAGAAGUGAGAAGCACUAAAUUGCCAUGGGAAAGCAGAAGUGCCAUAAGCUUUGACUGUAAGAAGUGAUUGUGCUAUUGUGAAUCACAUCCCUUUGACAUCCCCUAAAUUGCCAUGUAAGGAAAAUAAAAUCCUAGUUGAUGAUCAUCACUUGCAAUUAGGGGGAAAAUUAGCCAAGGCCUGGGAACAGCUAACAAGGAGGUACCUUCACACCUCCUUGCAAGUUAUUUAACUUUUUUUGCGUCUUGAUUUUACAAAUAAAGAUAGUUGUUACAGUUUUAUAUUUCAUCAGGAUUUUGAUGGAAUGAAUUUUUAGAAUGCAAGGAAAGUCAGAAAUAUACAAAUACCAGCCAACACUUUAGCAAUACUGAAAACACAAUAAUUCUUUCACAUAGUUUUUCUAAGAAACUUAUCUGAUGCUUCAGAGGAAACAGAAAGCAAGCAUUCUUCUUUUGUAAUAUGUCAGGCUGGUGAAUUUGUUUCCACAGACCUUCAGUAAGAGCAGGACACCCAACAUCUUUAGUAUUUUUGGAAGGUACUGCAUUUAAACCAUCUUCCUGCACACAACCUAGAUGAACUAAUGAGAUGCCUACAUGAUUAAAACUGCCAAGCUGAAACUUUCAUUCCUUUAAGUGCAGAGAAAAAUGAGAAAUAAUAGAGGGGAAGGCUCCUAGUUUCUGUUUUUAAGCUGUAGAAGAUAGUACAGAAUUGCUCUCCUUUGAAAGGCUUAAAUGAUGCCAACCUUUCAGAAGUAGAAUUGCUCCUCUGCCAGAACAUUUAAAAGCAUGUAAUUGUAGUCAGAUCCAAGACGCCUACUUAAGUGAAAUUUUCUUUUGGUUUCCUUCCCUACUUUGAAAUUAAACAAACAUUGCCAAUACUGAGCUGAGAGGGCGAACGUGCAGAGCAACAGGCAAGGGUGGGUGCUAGGCUUCUGCCAGAGCUCAGCAAGAAAAUACACUGCUUGUCUGCUCCAUCAGCAACUUCCUGCUUACUUCAUGUCAGAGGACAUCAGUUCCUGUCAGGUAAGGUUACUCAUGACGACUCUGCAGUCUAGGGGAAAGUCCCGAAUGUUGGGGUGGGUGGAAAGGGGGAAUCCACAGGAACACGAUUCCAGCAGGGGUUAGUUAGCAAACACAGAGUCUCUGUAGCCCAUGGAGGACCCCCAAACUGAAACAGAAAGGGUGCACAAGUCUUGUGCAUGCUCCCUUGGUAAUAAAAACUUACCUUUCAGUCUGUUCAAUAUGUGUAGCUCAAAAUUCCAUUUUAAAAAUACGGAAAAAAAUCUAUUGUAGAUAAAGGCUCUUAUUCUUCUGAAAUUUUUUAGUGCAGGAGCUAUCAAAAUACAAACCAGUCUCAGAGUGCACUUUGGCAGAUGCUGCAUAAAGUGGCUCACUCCAUCAGGAGGCAAAUCUAACUGUAGGCUUUCCAGAACAAUUCAGUUUCCUGAACCAUUCACAAAGCCUUUUCCUUGAAGAACACUUUUCUAACUAGUCAAACACUAAGUUCCUCCAACACAGUACCCCCCCGCACUAACUUUCACUUAGUCAAAGUGCAGUAGUUCAUGUCAGAGACUAAGCCACUUCCCUUGAGAAAUCAUUUUAAUACAGCCCACUUCAAAAGAUGCUUCUUGCCGCAACUCUCUUCAGUUUAUCCACUGUGAUUUCUACAAAACUCCCUGGAGCCCGCCAACAUCCCCUUGCUCAUUUGGUGUUGCUCUCACGUUCUCUCCCCUCCCUUUUCUCCAUAAAAUAAACUCAACACAGAAAUCCAGCCCUAUGAUUUCUGUUAACAAGUGUAUUAUUACUUAUCAGCAACUUGCAGGUAACACAGGUUACCCUUUAAAGCAUAUUUUGCAUUCUGAAUAUUAAACACAUGGCAGAAUAUAGGUGAUCAAAUUAAAUUUAAAAAUGUUUUUCCACUGUCAGACUCUAUUUAAGGCAAACAGAAUAAUACCCACAUCAGUGGUGUCAGUGCAAAAUUAACUAAAAAGCCAAAUUUCUCUUCACCACAAAUUGUGUCUUAAUGAGAAGACUUUUUAAAAGAUACAUUUUGGAUUACUUUAUUUGCUUUCUAGACUCACCAGCUCUAACAUGUUCUCACAAUAUUUACAGCUUCCCCCCACUGCAAAGAUUAUUAAAGUUUCUUCUAAUUCAGGGCUAAAAUUAGAGUGGGUUUUAUUUAUUAAAAACUUGGGCAAUGAUGCAGACUUGUCCUAAAUGGGAAUGCAAAAAACCCAAAUCAAUUCAGGAAGGCAGUGAAUGAAAUGCUUUUUAGGCUAAGCACAGAACAAAGACCUGGCUUGCUCUAGCAGCAGGGACUCAGCAGCCGAAACGUUAGGUAGCAGUGGCAAGGGAGGCAUUUGAUGGUGAUCUAGGCUACUUCCAAGGCCCACUCCUCAUUAAGAGGUAUCAUGGCAAUGAAAGCCAUAGUAACUCUUCCUGCAAGCCUUUAAACAGAAAAGCUAGAAAGUAUAUCUGGAUACUAAUCAAGUCUCUGUGGAGAACUAUUGCAGAUAUAAGUUCCAAACUACAAAGAUCCAUAAGCAUGUUCCAUCUACUGUUAAGAGUGUGCAGGGACAGCAAAGGCACCUUGGUGUCUCCUGCCAGUUGUUUCACUAAAACGCCGUCUACAAGGAAAAUAACGCAUUCAGCAAGUCUACUGCUAAUACUCAGAGAUUUCUAGUCCAAUUCUCAGGCUUUCAGAAGUCAAUCCAGCACUUACAAGGAACAUACAUUUAAACAGUUUAUAAAUGGCUACUAUGUGUCUCAGCUCUGUAAAUCUCUUACAAACUACUCUAAUAAAAUUACACCUAUACAUAUUCACAA